CAUUUCACUCCCCUACCACAAAACUACGAAUCUUUUUUCGGCAGUUCUACUUUUUUGACGCGGUAAAAAUUCUGGCGGGAAAUAUUCAUUCGCCUCUACACACGUGGUUAUCCUGAUUAGCUUUUAGAUGUUCUGAUGUCUCGCUUGAUUGGAAAUAUGGAAGAAUUGAUGACGUGAUGCAGAUUUUAUUAGAGAAGUAUGCAUUGUUGGUGAGAAUCGAACCCUCAACAAAGGGAACAUUGGCCACCCAAGAAGAGAGGAGCAGUGAUCCUUAGACCUGGGCUGGUGUCACAUGAAGAAAUGAAGCAGAAUUGGUGAUGACGUGAUGCAGGUUGUAUUACAGAAGAAUGCAUUGUUCAUGAGAAUCGAACCCUUCAACUUGUCUUCAAUUGACUGGCAAGACCUGAACUUGAUUGAUAAAGAAGACAUAUGUGAUUGACAAAUUCCCUACAGAGUCAUAGAAUUGAUGACGUGAUGCAGAUUUUAUUAGAGAAGUAUGCAUUGUUGGUGAGAAUCGAACCCUCAACAAAGGGAACAUUGGCCACCCAAGAAGAGAGGAGUAGUGAUCCUUAGACCUGGGCUGGUGUCACGUGAAGAAAUGAAGCAGAAUUGGUGAUGACGUGAUGAAGAUUUUAUUACAGAAGAAUGCAUUGUUCAUGAGAAUCGAAACCUUCAACUUGUCUUCAAUUGACUGGCAAGACCUGAACUUGAUUCAUAAAGAAGACUAGGAGCUUGGACAGAUUGCAUGAAAGGGAUGAAAAAAUAAACUUACGUCCUCAUAAAACUGUGUCGUCCUUUCUACAGGCCAUCAUUAGAUGAGUUUGUCCCCAUAAAACUGUGUCGUCCUUUCUACAGGCCAUCAUUAGAUGAGUUUGUCCCCAUAAAACUGUGUCGUCCUUUCUACAAGCAAACAUUAGAGGAGUUAAAACAAACUCAGAUCUGGAGAUUUUAGUUAAUUCUAAACUUAACCCAAUCACAGAAUGAUGUAAUGCUGUUUCAUUGUUUUUCUCACCGAUUCUUAUCAUCUCCAACUUCUAUCCUCAGACUUAUUAUUCUUGUGUUACCCACUUCACAGGCAUCAUUAGGUGAGUGUUGUCAUCUAAAUUUUAAGUUUAUCUGGACUUUACCUAAACUUCUUGUCAAAAUGUAAAAUUUCCCAAACCACACCUUUUGCAAAGGACAACCCAAAAGAGUCUGAAAUCUUUAGAUACUCUGCUUCGCAAUGUGAAAAUCCUUUCUUCUUGGUUCUGGUCCUCGUUCUCAUUGCCCCUUUAAUUUCUUCACAUGAACCCACGCAGAUCU